GUGGGGAAUUUUGGACAAUGGGCGCAAGCCUGAUCCAGCAAUGCCGCGUGCAGGAAGAAGGCCUUCGGGUUGUAAACUGCUUUUGUACGGAACGAAACGGUCCUGGCUAAUACCUGGGGCUAAUGACGGUACCGUAAGAAUAAGCACCGGCUAACUACGUGCCAGCAGCCGCGGUAAUACGUAGGGUGCGAGCGUUAAUCGGAAUUACUGGGCGUAAAGCGUGCGCAGGCGGUGCUGUUAGACAGGCGUGAAAUCCCCGGGCUCAACCUGGGAAUUGCGCUUGUGACUGCAGUGCUGGAGUGCGGCAGAGGGGGAUGGAAUUCCGCGUGUAGCAGUGAAAUGCGUAGAUAUGCGGAGGAACACCGAUGGCGAAGGCAAUCCCCUGGGCCUGCACUGACGCUCAUGCACGAAAGCGUGGGGAGCAAACAGGAUUAGAUACCCGAGUAGUCC
rnacentral:rRNA from 1 species